UACAGAGGUCUCAAGCGUUGUUCGGAUUCAUUGGGCGUAAAGGGUGCGUAGGCGGCGCGGUAAGUCGGAUGUGAAAUCUCGGAGCUUAACUCCGAAACUGCAUUCGAUACUGCCGUGCUUGAGGACUGGAGAGGAGACUGGAAUUUACGGUGUAGCGGUGAAAUGCGUAGAUAUCGUAAGGAAGACCAGUGGCGAAGGCGGGUCUCUGGACAGUUCCUGACGCUGAGGCACGAAGGCCAGGGGGAGCAAAACGGG
rnacentral:rRNA from 1 species